rnacentral:rRNA from 1 species
CCUACGGGAGGCAGCAGUGGGGAAUAUUGCACAAUGGGGGGAACCCUGAUGCAGCAACGCCGCGUGGGUGAAGAAGUACUUCGGUAUGUAAAGCCCUGUCAGCAGGGAAGAAAAUGACGGUACCUGAGUAAGAAGCCCCGGCUAACUACGUGCCAGCAGCCGCGGUAAUACGUAGGGGGCAAGCGUUAUCCGGAUUUACUGGGUGUAAAGGGAGCGUAGACGGCAGUGCAAGUCUGGAGUGAAAGGCGGGGGCUCAACCCCCGGACUGCUCUGGAAACUGUACGGCUGGAGUGCAGGAGAGGUAAGUGGAAUUCCUAGUGUAGCGGUGAAAUGCGUAGAUAUUAGGAGGAACACCAGUGGCGAAGGCGGCUUACUGGACUGUAACUGACGUUGAGGCUCGAAAGCGUGGGGAGCAAACAGGAUUAGAUACCCCGGUAGUC